rnacentral:rRNA from 1 species
CCUACGGGAGGCAGCAGUGAGGAAUAUUGGUCAAUGGACGAGAGUCUGAACCAGCCAAGUAGCGUGAAGGAUGACUGCCCUAUGGGUUGUAAACUUCUUUUAUAUGGGAAUAAAAUGUUCCACGUGUGGGAUUUUGUAUGUACCAUAUGAAUAAGGAUCGGCUAACUCCGUGCCAGCAGCCGCGGUAAUACGGAGGAUCCGAGCGUUAUCCGGAUUUAUUGGGUUUAAAGGGAGCGUAGGGGGAUUGUUAAGUCAGUUGUGAAAGUUUGCGGCUCAACCGUAAAAUUGCAGUUGAAACUGGCAGUCUUGAGUACAGUAGAGGUGGGCGGAAGUCGUGGUGUAGCGGUGAAAUGCUUAGAUAGCACGAAGAACUCCGAUUGCGAAGGCAGUUCACUGGACUGCAACUGACACUGAGGCUCGAAAGUGUGGGUAUCAAACAGGAUUAGAUACCCCAGUAGUC